CGUUGGUGUGGCCUCAGUUUGAACAACCUCCUUUGUCAGUCCACCUGAAAGCCUUGCUGACCAGCAUAUAGAAAAUGUGUCAUCUUCACAUGGCAAAGGAAAGAUAACAAAAUCAGAAUUUGAAUCAAAUGUUUCAGCAAGUGAACAAGAUGGUGAUGAUCCAAAAUCUACAUUGAAUGCUUCAGAUAAUUUAAAAAAUGAGAGUUCUGAUUAUACAAAAUCAGGAGAAGCUGACCCUACAUCUGUAGCAAGUCCCAAAGAUCCAGAAGAUAUACCAACAUUUGAUGAGUGGAAGAAGAAAGUUAUGGAAGUAGAAAAAGAAAAAAGUCAGUCAUUGCAUCCAUCUUCUAAUGGAGGUCCACAUGCCACCAAAAAGGUUCAGAAAAAUCGAAAUAAUUAUGCCUCAGUAGAAUGUGGAGCUAAAAUUUUGGCAGCUAAUCCAGAAGCCAAGAGCACAUCUGCUAUUCUUAUAGAAAAUAUGGACCUUUAUAUGUUGAAUCCUUGCAGCACUAAAAUUUGGUAAGUAAUUAUAAAGUGUAUCUAUUAUGCUUUUAUAUGAUGGUCAGAUUUAUUUAUUUAUAUAGUCAUUUAAUAAGCACUUAUGUUUGACUGUUAAU